CCACCCCCCCCCCACCCCACCCUUUUCCUAUGUUCAUGUUUCAAACUUCAUAAAGUGGGGAUAUUGGAAUCUUGAAUAUCUAUGCAGUUUUCAAAGAUUCUUGAAAUCCCACCACACCAAUCUUGAAAAUCUUUGUUCUUUUCUUCAUAAGCUUUUGGCUUUUUUAAGUGGGUGUCCAAGCAUGUUUCUUGAAGUGGGUAUUCUAGCAAUAUACACAAUCUCUUUCUAGACAAGUUUCUUCAAGUGGGAAUUUCACCAAAUUACUCUUUGUCUAGGUAUGUGCUAAAUUUGAAGUUUCCUUGUAGCAAACAACCAUCUCUUCUCUUUUGUGCCAAAUUUUGAAAAGUCUUGAAGUGGGUAGUGAUCAAGACUAAAGCUUUGAAGUUUCUUGAAGUGGGUAGUGAUCAAGAUUUUAAAGUUUUGAAGUUUCUUGAAGUGGGUAGUGAUCAAGAUUUUAAAGAUUUGAAGUUUCUUGAAGUGGGUAGUGAUCAAGAUUCAAGAUUUGAAGUUUCUUUGAAGUGGGUAGUGAUCAAGGUUCAAGAUUCAUCAACAAAGAGCAAGAAAAAAAGCUUCUUUUAUUAUUAUUAUUGCUUCAAGAAAUGGGAGUUAUUGGGAGACUUGUGUGGAUGAACACAUGCUCAAAGAAACAAUGUAGAAGCUUGUUUUGGAGAAUGAGGGCAGCCAUGAAAAGGGCAGUCAAGAAACAAACAUUUCUUGUUGGAGGUCCAAAGAAACAAUUUAAUUUUCAUUAUGAUCCUUCAAGUUAUGCUCUCAACUUUGAUGAUGGCACAUAUCAUCAUCAUCAUCAUCAUGACAAUCAUCUUCAUCAUGUGGUGGAGCAUCAGAAAAUUACCAAACUACCCUUGCAAAAGCAACAAGAAUCACAUUCUACUACAUGGGUGGUCUAUGUUAUAUGGGUCGAAUCUUUUUAGUGUCUCUUUUUUGCUCUAGGUUCACAUUCUUCAAUGCCGGGUUAGGUUAUUAGAGUCGGAUCUUUCUACUAUUAUUCGGAUGUUCUAGCUUUAUUCGGAUCCUAAAAUGGGUUUAGGUUUUAGUAGGUUAAUGUAGGUUUUGAGUCUUGAGUCAUGACCCGACGGGUUGACCUAGUCAGGGGAAAGAACUAUUGCAUGGAUAUAAAAUGAAAUAUUUUAGUUCUUUAACUUA